AUAGCAACACAAAUUAGAUACGUUGCAGUCGUUCCAUAAUAAUAACCUUCCCUACGACCCACCUCGAGGUCGCUCCAUCCAGUUGACCAUGACCGUGUAAAUCCACCACACCUCGCACACGCAGAAGGGCGGCUGCAACCUCUCCUCCGAUUUGGACUCCCGUAUCCCCGUUCUACUCCUCUCGUCGUUGAUCUCUCAUACCCUGUCCUUGCCUAUAGGCUGAUCUCCACGCAAUGAUCUAGAUUGAAUCAGGUAACGAGGAAUUUGGCGAUUAGAUCUGCAUGAACUUCCAGCCAUCACGGACUCCUCAAGUCCUAUGGCGCCGCGUCAACUCAGGAGCCGAUCUGUAAAGGUCACAGUCGUUUCCUGAGAACUCCAAUGGACAGUGCCAUCCUGGAGGUUGGAAAAAAAAGCUUUAAGCAAGCAGUACUAAAUUCCUAGCAAGGUUUUUCCUAAUUCACCAAGGUAGCGCAGCAAGAUUUAAUAAAGCAGAACUAAAUUCCCUGCAAGGUGUAAAAGAUCAGUUGAAUAUGUUUGGACAUCACUGGAAGCAAGAAGAUUGAGAAUCAUGUCCCACCUGUGUGGGAUUUUUUUUAUUGCAUUUACUACUAACUGUGUAUUAUCUCACAUUUAUUAAUUUUCUAUAUGCUAAAUAUUGGUCUAGAUAAAAUUUCUGGAUGAUUUCUUUCUUGAUAAGGUUGCAUUGUAUCAGUUACCUUGCGCCUGGACAAACAGUAUUGCUGUAGAUUGUAUAGUGACAUCGACUAAUUCUACAGUGUAUUCUUGAUUUUUCUUUGUGCUGUUGCUGUCACCAGAUUUCAGCUCCUAUCUAAAAUUUUCAUUCCUCUUGGGGGGAUAAUCUUCAGAGUUAAGUGGUAUUGACAAUGCUUUUUACUACCAAUUUACUAAUUAAUAUUUCACUUUUUGGCGAGCAAGCAUUCUUUCUGGAAGUAUUAUAAUAUUAUCGCAAUUUGAGUUUACUUCUAAGUGUCGUAUUAAAUAAAUCCAACUUUCGUCUAUAGGUACUAGCAUCGGUGGAAUGAUAGCCUAAACUGAAGGAAGGAGAAGGAGGGCUGCUAGCAUUCUAAGAGGGAUGCCUUUAUGUUUAUAUUUUACUACCAUAGAACUUGUACUGUGGGAAAAUUUGUGUCAUGUAUAAUAUGGAUGGUAGUCAUUGUAAUGCAACAAAUUAUUUAUAUUAUACAUAUGACUGACUAUGCUUAUUUCUUCCUA